rnacentral:rRNA from 1 species
AUUGAACGCUGGCGGCAUGCCUUACACAUGCAAGUCGAACGGCAGCACGGGUGCUUGCACCUGGUGGCGAGUGGCGAACGGGUGAGUAAUACAUCGGAACAUGUCCUGUAGUGGGGGAUAGCCCGGCGAAAGCCGGAUUAAUACCGCAUACGAUCUACGGUUGAAAGCGGGGGACCUUCGGGCCUCGCGCUAUAGGGUUGGCCGAUGGCUGAUUAGCUAGUUGGUGGGGUAAAGGCCUACCAAGGCGACGAUCAGUAGAUGGUCUGAGAGGACGACCAGCCACACUGGGACUGAGACACGGCCCAGACUCCUACGGGAGGCAGCAGUGGGGAAUUUUGGACAAUGGGCGAAAGCCUGAUCCAGCAAUGCCGCGUGUGUGAAGAAGGCCUUCGGGUUGUAAAGCACUUUUGUCCGGAAAGAAAUCCUUGGCUCUAAUACAGUCGGGGGAUGACGGUACCGGAAGAAUAAGCACCGGCUAACUACGUG